CCUUGGUAUGAUCUUCUUAGCUUGGGCACACAUCUCUGGGUCUACCCACUAAAAGUAAAUACAACCACCAUCUGUCUGAGUUCAUGAACAAAACUCACAAAGAAAGAAGUGAAUAAAUGAUACCCAUUAUCCCAAGGCUCCAUAAACCCAUAAAUUGAAGGAAAUAAAAAAAAAAAUACCACAUACCUUAUCUGUAAAGCAUGAUUUGAAUCUUGUAUCAUGAUUUUUGUUUGUCCAAGAAGUUCUAAGAACAAUAGGUUUUGAGGGAUGGCAGUAACAAAAUUCAUCUUCUUCCUCAAUCUCUUUCACCAUAUCUUCAGAUGCCUUUGAAGUUGAACCCUUGACUUUUCUCCUCUGCCUAUUCAUAUCGUCUCAAGCGUUCAUGUUCAAAGAAGAGUGAACAUUGGAUGUUGCUUAUCUUGGCACCAUAUGCAUAUCAUUUUUAUUGUUGUGAUCCAGUGAACUCAGAUCUGAAUAACCGUGAAGAGAUUGUAUCAGUGAUCGUCAACACUUUCAAUCUUUUUUUCUCUAUGAAUCUUCCUAAUGUCGAGAUCCCUAAUACUCUAUGCAUUUAGCAACCUCAGUGUCCACACCAACCAGACAAUGUGCCAUGCGGAUACUACAUAAUGAGGAUGUUGAAGGAUUUGAUUGAACAUAUGAGUCCAGGACAUUACUUGAGAACGUAUGGCGGUGGGAAGAUUCUUGGUAGCUUGGGAUUGUGUAUUGAGGGAGAAUGAAAUUGGUGGAUUGCGUGAACGAUUCGAGGAUGAAGUUGUUUAAGUCUUUUAAUUAUGAUUUCUAUGUACACUUAAUAUUGUAACCAUUUUAUUUAAGA